CUUCUCCGGCGCUCCCUUUCUCCCCGAUCUCCCCAACAUUGUGCCCUAAUCUACUGGACCUCCUCUUCGUGUUCUUCGCAAAUCUGACUUCCGCAAUUCCAAGAUCCCACUUCCACGAUUUCUUCCGCCGUUACGAGUUCCGACUUUCGAGCUUCGAUUCGUCCGAGUUGAUUUGCCCGACCGUCCGAGUUGAUCUGCCCGAGCUUCGACCUCCCAAGCAACUGCAAAGGAUAGCUCAUCAGCGAGAGUGUCCACAGUCAUCGGCGAGCGCUGCGAGCCGCGAAUCUCUUUGAUCUGUAUCAAAGACAAUUUGGACAUUGAUUUUGACCUGAAUUGCUAUGAAGAAAGUGGAGGGAGCCAAAUUGGCGAUGAAGAUGCAAAGAAUAUACGCACCCAACAACAUGCCAUGGUUGAUGACUUAGAGCUUCCUGAAGAAAAUGAAUUUAAUACUUUAUAUGAUGAUGAUGUUGGUAACGAUGAAGAUUUGGAUGAGAUUUGACAUUUUAUGUUAUGAUUUAUGUUGUUAACAGUUUAUUUUGAAAAUUUGAAUUAUGAUUUAGACUUUGAAUUUUGAUAAUUUGUAACGAUGUUUCGUGCUUUUAUGACUUAUUGUUGGUUUGCUGGUUUUUAGUCCUUUUUUGAAUAUAAGAAAUCAAGGAUUGAUUUUCUUUUUU